UACAGAGGGCGCGAGCGUUGUCCGGAAUCACUGGGCGUAAAGGGCGCGUAGGUGGCGGCAUAAGGCCGCGGUGAAAGUCUGGGGCUCAACCCCAGAUCGGCCGCGGCGACUGUGUCGCUCGAGCACGGUAGAGGCAGAUGGAAUUCCGGGUGUAGCGGUGGAAUGCGUAGAUAUUGGGAGGAACACCAGUGGCGAAGGCGGCUACCUGGACCGGUUCUGACGCUGAUGCGCGAAAGCGUGGGUAGCAAACAGG
rnacentral:rRNA from 1 species